rnacentral:lncRNA from 1 species
GGAACCGGUUGCACCUUACACAGUCACAGAGCCAAUUCAAAUACGUCACUGUCUGUCAUCAGAUCUGUGAGUGACCCUGACCUCCUUUAAAUUCUAGGAGGUAUCUGGCCCACUACAUAGGUCUUAGCUCCUGGAGAGCCUCCUCUCUUCACGCUCCUGCCCCCUCAGCUCCCUCCCCUGUUCUUGCUCUCCCCUAGUCACCAUCUCUCCUCUUUACCCCAGUUUUUCCCCUUGAUGUCAGUCAAGCAAGGAGCCAGGAGAAAUGCAGUUCAGUUGGUCCUUGAGGGAAGAAACUUUCAAAUUCUGUCUGUGAAUUAGUUGUCUACCCAGAGAUCUUGAGGCCAUUUGUGCAUUCUGGACUUUCCUGAACUACUUAAUGAAAAACUAAAUAAGGCAUAAUCUUAUAAAUUGACUUAAGUGCAGAAAAUUAAGUUAAGGAUAGUAAUUUUAUUUUGGCACCUCAUUUUCUUUAAAAAACAUGAAGGAAGAUCCACUCAGUCUCCUUGAUAUAAAAGAAAAACUGAUAAUAAAAAAGACUGAACUUUAAGGGACAAGUUUUUAAAAUAUAUAUAUAUAGAGAGAGAUAUUCUCUACAUUUACUUAAAUGCUGUGCUAAUAAUUCCCUAGAAAUCCUAUGAAGAGAAACUUGAUGUGUAACUGAUUGUUUUAAACAUAAGAAUUUAAACCUUUAAACUUAUAUGGUAAACAUCAGAGCAGUUGAGCCUUCUAGGAAUGUUCCUAAGUUGUACCCUGAGAGCCUUGACACCCAUAGUGUGAUCAAGGACGGGCCAUGUUUUAACUAGCUCUUGUUUUCUAAUUCCCUUUGGAUCUUCUCUGAGGAUUGCUUUCUUUCCUGAGCCUCUUAUCACAACACUUAGAGGAUUGCCUCUGUACAGCCUCCUCCUAUCCCUGGCAAGUUAACCCACAGCCUCCAGUUCCUGCUGGCUCCCUCCAGUGUGCAGCCCACCCUCUCUUGUUCCUGAUUUCUGGUCUCUAACUCCAGGCUUAAUAUUAACUGGUUGUAUGCCUUUGGCUCUGUGAGCUACUGCCCCUCAUCUGUUAAAGGUGGACCUAGACUUAGAGAAUCUCUGAGGUUCCUGUCAAUUUGUCUUCUUCUUAAGAAAACUGAGACACACACUUAACAGGGGAACUUUCCCCAACAUGUCCUCUUCAGUACAGGCUGUUUUUACAUGUGCAUGUUUCAUGCUCCAUCCUUCUGUUCCCAGAAUAUGUCAAAGGCCUUUAUUUUCCUUCAGACCACAUAACCUGUAGCAUGAACUGAGUAAUAAAAGGAAAGUAGUAGGAUCUGGCCAUAUGGCAUGCAGUAGGGCUGUGGCUGGGGCACCAGGGAUUUGGGUGCACAGGGAAGCUUAUCCUCUAAACUGGAACCCUCCAGACCCAGUGCAUCUCCUUGUCUCAUUCUUUUAACCAAAUCCCACCAUGUUUCUGCCUUCCUGCAUGCUUUGCCCUUAUUCCAGGCUCUGGGCAUCAUAAAUGGUGUCUAAUAGUUCCAUCUGAACAGGAUUCUUUUGUUUGCUUGCAGGUGACAUCCGUAAGGGCCCUGCUGUGUGCUCCAGCAUUGACACCCUUGCCUUCCAGGAGCCACACAAGAAGCAAAGCAACCACCGGUCCCUAAUGCAUGAGGAAGCCUAGGCCUACCCCCCUCCCCACAUCUGAACAACUGCCUAUCUGCUAAGGAGCAUCUGAGUCCUAUUCCUUCAAAGCUGGUGCAGGUCUGAAGAGGUGAUCAGAGAUGUCUCCUACUAGGGUAGGAAGAAAGGCAGAAUGACUUCCUGGCAGUGAUGGAAUACCAGUAGUCAAAUACCACCAGACCCCCACUAGGCAGAGUUCACCUAAGAUUGCAUGGUAAACCUGUGACACUGCUUCUGAACAGCCUCAGUGACACAGCACCUGCUCAGCACUGUUCUCACCUUAGCAGCUCUCCUCUGAUGAUCAACUCUGGGGAAAUGAUUGCCUUCUACACAUGGGUCAUGUGGUUCCAAUGUGGAGCUUGUUGACAGUUCUAGAAGCACCCUAGUGAGAAGCAGGCACUGCUGGACAGUGUCAGUGAAACUCAGCUAGCACCUUUCACAGAUCCACACCUGACCAGGUAGCUCCUCUGGGAUAAGCCAGGCUGGACUUUGCACGGCACCAUGAGGUCUGACCUCUUUGAGUCCAUGUGAGGAAGGACAUUGGUGACCUCUCAUUCAUAGCCUAGCACAAUCUGCUUCCUUUAUUAACAUGUUCUCCAAAUUUUACUGCCUCCUCCUCCCCAUUAAGUAUGCUGUGCCAUUUUGCUAACUUAACAUCCUUCGGGGGAAUAUGAGACUGAUGUCCACACCAAGCCUAUGCAAAGUCUUGCAUAUGGCAGCCUCUACUUGUUUCUUAGUGGUGUGGGCCAGGCCCCAAUUGUAAUGAAGCCUCCUAUGUGUCUUUAGAGUGCUCCUAGGAUGUGAGUAGGUGGGUAUAAAUGUAAGAUAGAGGUUCAUUUAUAUUGCUGUAGCCAUACGUUGAAGGCCAACAUCACUCAUUGCAGGCAGGGUAAAAUAGUAA